rnacentral:rRNA from 1 species
UGCAAGUCGCACGAGAAAGGGUAGCAAUACCUGAGUACAGUGGCGCACGGGUGAGUAACACGUGAAUCAUCUACCUCCGAGUGGGGAAUAACUGAGAGAAAUCUUAGCUAAUACCGCAUAACACUUACGAGUCAAAGCAGCAAUGCGCUUGGAGAGGAGUUCGCGGCAGAUUAGUUAGUUGGCGGGGUAAUGGCCCACCAAGACGAUGAUCUGUAUCCGGCCUGAGAGGGCGCACGGACACACUGGAACUGAAACACGGUCCAGACUCCUACGGGAGGCAGCAGUGGGGAAUUUUGCGCAAUGGGGGAAACCCUGACGCAGCAACGCCGCGUGGAGGAUGAAAUAUCUUGGUAUGUAAACUCCUUUCGAUGGGGAAGAUAAUGACGGUACCCAUAGAAGAAGCCCCGGCUAACUUCGUGCCAGCAGCCGCGGUAAUACGAGGGGGGCAAGCGUUGUUCGGAAUUAUUGGGCGUAAAGGGUGCGUAGGCGGUUUGACAAGUCUUAUGUGAAAUCUUCGGGCUCAACCCGAAGUCUGCAUGGGAAACUGUCGGGCUUGAGUAUGGGAGAGGUGAGUGGAAUUUCCGGUGUAGCGGUGAAAUGCGUAGAUAUCGGAAGGAACACCUGUGGCGAAAGCGGCUCACUGGACCAUAACUGACGCUGAUGCACGAAAGCUAGGGGAGCAAACAGGAUUAGAUACCCUGGUAGUCCUAGCCCUAAACGAUGAUUGUUUGAUGUGGGGGGUACCCAAUCCUCCCGUGUCGAAGCUAACGCGAUAAACAAUCCGCCUGGGGAGUACGGUCGCA